rnacentral:tRNA from 1 species
GGGCAUGUGGCUCAGUUGGUAGAGUACUUGCCUAGCAUGCAUGAAACUUUGGGUUUCAUUCCUAGUAUCCA